rnacentral:rRNA from 1 species
CCUACGGGGGGCAGCAAUUAGGAAUCUUGCGCAAUGGGCGAAAGCCUGACGCAGCGACGCCGCGUGACCGAUGAAGUCCUUCGGGAUGUAAAGGUCUUUUGCCAGGGAAGAAGAACGUGACGGUACCUGGCGAAUAAGCCCCGGCUAACUACGUGCCAGCAGCCGCGGUAAGACGUAGGGGGCGAGCGUUGUCCGAAGUUACUGGGCGUAAAGCGCGCGUAGGCGGCCUCUUAAGUUGGGUGUGAAAUCCUGCGGCCCAACCGCAGAACUGCAUCCAAAACUGGGAGGCUUGAGGACGGAAGAGGGCAGUGGAAUUCCUGUUGUAGCGGUGAAAUGCGUAGAUAUCAGGAGGACCGCCCGUGGCGAAGGCG